rnacentral:rRNA from 1 species
GUCCACGCCGUAAACGAUGGGCACUAGGUGUAGGAGGUAUUGACCCCUUCUGUGCCGAAGCUAACGCAUUAAGUGCCCCGCCUGGGGAGUACGGCCGCAAGGUUAAAACUCAAAGGAAUUGACGGGGGCCCGCACAAGCGGUGGAGCAUGUGGUUCAAUUCGACGCAACGCGAAGAACCUUACCUGGGCUUGACAUCCGCUGACAACCCUAGAAAUAGGGCCUUCCCCGCAAGGGGACAGCGAGACAGGUGCUGCAUGGCUGUCGU